CCUAGGCCUUCGGCCUAGGCUAAUAUCUUGGCGCGCCUUUGGCGCU
rfam:Terriglobus roseus strain GAS232 genome assembly, chromosome: I